UUACUGUAGCUUUGAAAUAAUUCACAGCUAUAAUUUUCCUUCUUCUGACUACAUUCACAGCAUCCUGUAAGUUUUAGUAUGUUGUUUUUAUUUUCAUUUGUCUCAAGAUAUUUUCUAAUUUCCCUUGUGAUUUCUUCUUUGACCCUUUAGAUGUUUAAGAGUGUGUUGUUUACUUUCCACAAUUUGUGAAUUUUUCUUUUUUUCUUCUGCUGUUGAUUUCUAGUUUCAUUCCAUUUUGAUUGGGAAAGAUACACAGUAUGAUUUCAAUCUUUUAAAAUUUAUUCAGGCUCGUUUUGUGACCUAACAUAUGGUCUACCCUGGAGAAUGCUCCCUGUGCAGUUGAGAAAAAUAUAUAUUCUGCUGUUGUUGGGCAUAGUAUUCUCUAUAUGUCUGUUAGUCCAAUUUGUCUACUGUGUUGUUUGUGUUAUUUAUUUAUUUUCUGUCUACUUGUAAUAUUUGCCAUUGAGAAUGUGGUAUUAAAGUCUCCUACUAUUAUUGUAGCCAAUAUUUUCAAUAGGGUCUUUGUGUGGCAACCUUUCUGAGGUUUUAUAUGGCUG
rnacentral:lncRNA from 1 species